rnacentral:rRNA from 1 species
GACAGAGGGUGCAAACGUUGUUCGGAAUUACUGGGCGUAAAGCGAGUGUAGGCGGUUUGGUAAGUCGGAUGUGAAAGCCCCGGGCUCAACCCGGGAAGUGCACUCGAUACUGCCAAGCUAGAGUAUCGGAGAGGUUGGUGGAAUUCUCGGUGUAGAGGUGGAAUGCGCAGAUAUCAGGAGGAACACCAGUGGCGAAGGCGGUUCUCUGGGCCUUACCUGACGCUGAGGAGCGAAAGCGUGGGGAGCAAACAGG